AGCAGUAUGGCUCAGUGGAAAGAGCACGGGCUUGGGAGUCAGAGGUCAUGGGUUCGAAUCCCCAUUCUGUCA
rnacentral:tRNA from 1 species